rnacentral:rRNA from 1 species
GACGAACGCUGGCGGCGCGCCUAACACAUGCAAGUCGAACGAGCGAGAGAGAGCUUGCUUUCUCGAGCGAGUGGCGAACGGGUGAGUAACGCGUGAGGAACCUGCCUCAAAGAGGGGGACAACAGUUGGAAACGACUGCUAAUACCGCAUAAGCCCACGGGUCGGCAUCGACCAGAGGGAAAAGGAGCGAUCCGCUUUGAGAUGGCCUCGCGUCCGAUUAGCUAGUUGGUGAGGUAAUGGACCACCAAGGCGACGAUCGGUAGCCGGACGGAGAGGGUGAACGGCCACAUUGAGACAGAGACACGGCCCAGACGCCUACGAGAGGCAGCAGUGGGGAAUAUAGCACAGGGAGGAAACCCUGAUGCAGCGACGCCGCGUGGAGGAAGAAGGUCUUCGGAUUGUAAACUCCUGUUGUUGGGGAAGAUAAUGACGGUACCCAACAAGGAAGUGACGGCUAACUACGUG